rnacentral:piRNA from 1 species
UGUGAGUCGGUGGUAAGCUAGGUUAGCCUU